ensembl:lncRNA
CGCGGGCUGUCUCACGUUGCGAUUACGUAAACAAACAGAUUUUUCGCGUGCUCGCCAAAUUCGAACAUGUGAAUGAUUUUGAGUCAAAAUCGAUUAGUUACAUUUGUUUUUUAUAAGAAGUAACGGGAUAACUUAAAACGAAUAUAGCACAUACUCAUAUGGAUUACUUUUUUUUUUGGAAUUUAUUUAUUCAUUUAUUUGAAUCAUGCUUCCAUCUGUCAUCCGGGUGUCUCACUGAUGAAAACACCAGUUUGAAGCUACAUCAGGCAUCCAUUCACUGCAGAGGAUUCAUUGCUGAGCAAGUGAUGGAAUGCUAAUUUCCUCCAAAUUAGUUCUGAUAAAGAAACAAACUCAUCUACAUCUCGGAUGACCUGAGGUGCUGCCCAUCUGUUGUGAACAUGGGAUCAUGAUACAGACAUUAAGAACAGAGGAAUUUGCAGUGUCUGGUCGGAAAAAAAGCAGGAAUGCCAUUUCUCACCACUCAUUUGGAGAGGCUUCCUCAAGGACUCUUCAGGGAGUCAUACCACUCUCAUGACCUACCAUGACUGUUCUUACUUUCUUUGGACCUGAUUGUUUCUCAAGAAAUAUAUCAGUUGUUUGGCUACUGCAUCCUGCCUCUCAGACAUAAAACUUUUGUUUAUUUUUCUCAAUAAUAAAGACUAGUGCACUCUUUAAAUGACUUUUAAAGAUGUAUGUAGUUAAUGAGUUGAUGAAAUAUUUACCUAUAGGUUAUGCAGCUGGUCAUAUUAUUAUAUCCAGAUAUUAUAAAUGUUUCUAAUUAUGUCAUACUUAGUCUAGAACUCUAGAAAGAGACAUUAUAAUUGAGACAUCAGAGUUUGCAAUGUAACUUAAUAUCAUUGUUUUAAUGCAAAACCUGCUGCAGAAAAUUUGUUUGUGUAAAUGACUUGAAAUAUCAGGUCUGUAUCUCAUAGUCCGCAAAUCUACUGGAUCUGCUUUUGCCUAAAGAGUACAGAACUCCAGAACCAGUGAAGGCCUCUUAGCAGUCAUAGAAAAGUAUUUUGAAAUUGAGCACAGGCUGUGGAAGAAAAAAACAGGCUUUAGGAAGAAGAGAUUCUGAAUUUUUCACUGUGUGAGUUAUGAGUGUGGAUGAAAGAUGGGUAUAGGUGAUGAUGUCGCAUCCCACAUAUGGAGGUCGGUCACGAGUCACUGGUGCCUGUGCUGUUACUACUUGGGUCAAAUGCCAGACAGUGUGUCAUGCAUAAUGAUUCUAGUGCAUGAUGGAUAGUAACCCUCACUUACAUCUAAAGUGAAAUUGUCCAUGAUAAACUGCAGUUAAAUAUGUUUUUACGCUAGCCAUUUGUGGACUCACUGGAAACCAACGAUAUUCACCAUAUAUCAUAAGUACAAUAAAUUGUGCUUGGCCAGGCCUCUAUAGAUUUUGUUUUUGAGGCAUCUGUGUAUGGGGAUGCAGGGAAAUGUUCUUUAUGUCUCUCUUUGUGUGUCUGCAUCUUGUUUUAAUCUGUAUUUUUGCCAUUAUUUUUUACCUG